AUCGCCAGCGAAUUGUGGCCGGCAGAGGCGGAUGCACCCGAAGCGACUCCGUCGAAGUUGACCUGGAAAGGCACGUCGGAGAGGGUGAUAGCCCCGUGUGCGGCGGAGUCGCCGACGGCCGCUACCGUCUUCGGAGAGUCGGGUUGUUUGGGAAUGCAGCCCAAAGUGGGUGGUAAACUCCAUCUAAAGCCAAAUAACGGCACGAGACCGAUAGCGAACAAGUACCGUGAGGGAAAGGUGAAAAGCACUUUGGAAAGAGAGUUAAAAAGGCCGCGAAACCGUUGGGAGGGAAACGCAUGCAGCCGAACUGGCCCGCGUCGAGUUCAGGGGGCCGCCCUUCGUCGCGCCCGUCGUCGACACCCUCGCGGGUCUCCGGCGGACGGAGGCGUCGGGCUCCCCUGCACUCUCGGCGGUAGGGGCCGGCCAAGCGGGGCGGGCUCCGGGCGAAGAGCACUCGUCGGGCAGGUAGCGCAGCCGUCUCUGGCGGAGGCGAACUUACAGCCGGCGGUGCGGAGCGUUCGGGGCCCGCCGAGGAGAGAGGUGGCACUUCCACCCGUGCAGCGCAGGUCCGCCGCAUAGGCGGGCCGGGGCGCUCUCGACCGUUCGGCGAGCCGACCGCGUCACUGC
rnacentral:rRNA from 1 species